rnacentral:rRNA from 1 species
GACGAACGCUGGCGGCGCGCCUAACACAUGCAAGUCGAACGAGCAAAGAGGAGCUUGCUUCUCUGAGCGAGUGGCGAACGGGUGAGUAACGCGUGAGGAACCUGCCUCAAAGAGGGGGACAACAGUUGGAAACGACUGCUAAUACCGCAUAAGCCCACGGGUCGGCAUCGACCAGAGGGAAAAGGAGCAAUCCGCUUUGAGAUGGCCUCGCGUCCGAUUAGCUAGUUGGUGAGGUAAUGGCCCACCAAGGCGACGAUCGGUAGCCGGACUGAGAGGUUGAACGGCCACAUUGGGACUGAGACACGGCCCAGACUCCUACGGGAGGCAGCAGUGGGGAAUAUUGCACAAUGGGGGAAACCCUGAUGCAGCGACGCCGCGUGGAGGAAGAAGGUCUUCGGAUUGUAAAACUUUAUCAGCAGGGAAGAUAAUGACGGUACCUGACUAAGAAGCACCGGCUAAAUACGUG